UCGGGAAUUUUGGGCAAUGGGCGAAAGCCUGACCCAGCAACGCCGCGUGAGGGAUGAAGUAUUUCGGUAUGUAAACCUCGAAAGAAUGGGAAGAAUAAAUGACGGUACCAUUUAUAAGCUCCGGCUAACUACGUGCCAGCAGCCGCGGUAAUACGUAGGGAGCAAGCGUUGUUCGGAUUUACUGGGCGUAAAGGGCGCGUAGGCGGCGCGGUAAGUCACUUGUGAAAUCUCUGAGCUUAACUCAGAACGGCCAAGUGAUACUGCUGUGCUAGAGUGCGGAAGAGGCAACCGGAAUUCUUGGUGUAGCGGUGAAAUGCGUAGAUAUCCGGAGGAACACCAGUGGCGAAGGCGGCCUUCUGGACUGCAUCUGACGCUCAGACGCGAAAGCUAGGGGAGCAAACG
rnacentral:rRNA from 1 species